UACGGGGGGAGCAAGCGUUGUUCGGAUUUACUGGGCGUAAAGGGCGCGUAGGCGGCCAGCACAAGUCAGUUGUGAAAUCUCCGAGCUUAACUCGGAAAGGUCAACUGAUACUGUGCGGCUAGAGUGCGGAAGGGGCAACUGGAAUUCUUGGUGUAGCGGUGAAAUGCGUAGAUAUCAAGAGGAACACCUGCGGCGAAGGCGGCCUACUGGGCUGCACCUGACGCUGAGCCGCGAAAGCCAGGGGAGCGAACGGG
rnacentral:rRNA from 1 species